CCUCCCCUUGUGCAUGUGCUGCAAGCACAUCUUACCCGUAUUCACUCCCACAUAGCACGAGGGACACAGAGUCCUGUUUCUUGCAGUCUGCUGUUGCACUGCCGAGUUUAUCUGAUUGGGAUGGCAGGGACAGAAAUCCUGAGCCGUUCAAGCCUUUCAAUUCAGUUAGUGCAGGGAUGUAAUCCAGAACUGGCUGGGUGAGUGAUUUUGGCUUGGGUCAGGGUAAAUAUCUGGACUCAUGUGCAUGACAGCAAGGCAAUCAACUGAAAUCUCCAAGUGGAAGCCUGCAGAAAUUAAAGGUGCAGGAGGUGCUUGUGGUGACGUGCGAAUGCCUGGCUGCCUCUGGAAAUGACCUGUGCUGAAUCAAGUGAGCCAGCUAACCUGAUUUCGUCCAGUGGGUCCCACUUUCCAUCCCAGAAGCUGGAGCAAUGCGUGGAGUAGAAGGACUCAACCAAUGCCCAUCCUGCAAGAGGCUCAGUGUUUGACUUUUAGCUGUUGCGGGGUACUAUGCCACGUUAAUGCCGGAUCACAGGCAAGCAGGGCUGGAAGGGACCUCACAAGAUCAUCUAAUCCAGCCUCCUGCUCAAGGCAGCAUUGUCCCUGACUGAACCAUCCCAGCCAAGUGUUCGUCCAACUUGUUUUUGAAGAUGUCCGGGGUGGAGAUUCCACAACUUCUCCAGGCAAAGAAUCCCGGGAGAGAGCUGCAAAGGUCUAUGGGAUACAACUGUGACGGGCUCACUGGUUGUGAUUUAGCCCAGGGAUUUUGAAAGGGUAAAAGAUGAUUGGAGGGCUUGGGAUUCCCUUUCCUCACCAAUCAGGCCCCAGAGACUCACCCUCUAUGUCCCCUGAUUGGCCCCUCGGGUAACCUGGAGGGGGAUAAAAGGGGCAGCGCAGCUGACUCAGGAGAGACCAGUGAGGGACCACAAGGAAGGAGAUUCAAAGAGCUGGCAAGAGCUGGGCCAGUGGGGUGGGAGCAGUUACCCCAGAAGCACCUGAAAGAGUGGGACCUGCAGGCAGCAGUUGGACCCUCAGCAGCGCAGCGUGCGGCCGGCAGGAGGGGCUCCCUGCUGGGCUCCAGGAACCCCUACGAGAGGCUAUGGCCAGCAGGAGAGGCUCCCCAGCUCCAGCAAGGAUCUGAGCAGUGACCUGAGAGGUUCCCAGCUCAGCUUCCAGCUUCUCCAAUCGGAGGCCAGGCAGCUCAACAUGAGGCCAGGGCUCCAGGAAAGUCAAGACUCCUAGCAGCUUGGAGCAGUACCAGCACUGGUGUCUGUGUGGUAGGGUUCUGCCUACCACAUGGGAGAGAUGAGUUCAAGUCCCAGCUGGGUGACUUGGGGUGAAUGAAGUGACAGGGAGAAAUUCUUGUUGCAGUGGAAAGGGGUCAUUGUGUUUUCCCUCUUUCUCCCCACCCCCCGCCAGGUACCUCGGCCUUUUAUAUUUCGCCAGCCAGUAUUGUUUGUUCUGCUGUUGUGUUUUACAUUUUGGUUAACCCUGUCUUUUGUCAACUGGAUGAAUAUGUCUAUGAUUGUAAGUGCCUAACCUUUGUUGAAUCCUGUCCCCUUGGGGUGUUGUAGUGUCCGCUAUACCCCUGGUUUAUACCGGUUAUGUUCCCACUAUUGUUCUCUCAUUAAAAGGUAUAUGGUUAAGUCCC